AGAGUUUGAUCCUGGCUCAGGAUGAACGCUGGCGGCGUGCCUAACACAUGCAAGUCGAACGGAAUUUACAUGAAGCCUAGCGAUUGUAAAUUUAGUGGCGGACGGGUGAGUAACGCGUGGGUAACCUGCCUUGUACUGGGGGACAACAGUUGGAAACGACUGCUAAUACCGCAUAAGCGCACAGCUUCGCAUGAAGCAGUGUGAAAAACUCCGGUGGUACAAGAUGGACCCGCGUCUGAUUAGCUGGUUGGUGAGGUAACGGCCCACCAAGGCGACGAUCAGUAGCCGGCCUGAGAGGGUGAACGGCCACAUUGGGACUGAGACACGGCCCAAACUCCUACGGGAGGCAGCAGUGGGGAAUAUUGCACAAUGGGGGAAACCCUGAUGCAGCAACGCCGCGUGAGUGAAGAAGUAUUUCGGUAUGUAAAGCUCUAUCAGCAGGAAAGAAAAUGACGGUACCUGACUAAGAAGCCCCGGCUAACUACGUGCCAGCAGCCGCGGUAAUACGUAGGGGGCAAGCGUUAUCCGGAUUUACUGGGUGUAAAGGGAGCGUAGACGGUUUUGCAAGUCUGAAGUGAAAGCCCGGGGCUUAACCCCGGGACUGCUUUGGAAACUGUAGGACUAGAGUGCAGGAGAGGUAAGUGGAAUUCCUAGUGUAGCGGUGAAAUGCGUAGAUAUUAGGAGGAACACCAGUGGCGAAGGCGGCUUACUGGACUGUAACUGACGUUGAGGCUCGAAAGCGUGGGGAGCAAACAGGAUUAGAUACCCUGGUAGUCCACGCCGUAAACGAUGAUUACUAGGUGUUGGUGGGUAUGACCCAUCGGUGCCGCAGCAAACGCAAUAAGU
rnacentral:rRNA from 1 species